AAUCCAAAUGCAUCCAAGGUGGCUAAGGAGGGUGAAGAUUCACACUUCACUUUUAAUUAUUUUAAUUUAUUUAUUUUUCUCCUACAGUCUACCUGUGAGCUGCACUUGAAGGAAUGAAGGAAUACUUGUUUGGACAAGUUUGGAAGGCUGGAAAGGUCAUCUGGAAGCCUUGUGACCCUCCACUGCAACUUCUACAAGAGGCUUCUAACUGCAGUGCCAUCCUUAGACCCUGGCAAGAGGGCCCCUGGCCCUGGCCCUCCUCCACUGUGCCCUUCUGCACAAAGAGGAUACUACGGAACCGAGGGAUCCUCAGCAACCCCAAGUCCAAGCCCCCACUUCUAGGCCACUGGUGGAAUGCUCUUGUCCAGAUUCUAGAAUUUCUUGUCCAAAUAGUCUUAAGCCUGCUUCCAGAGCCUGUGCUGGCUGUUUCCUGGCAUCCGUCUCCCCGCCAUGCGUGUUGCAAUCAGUGUGCACAGCCCUGGAUCUAAAGGGGUAGCUGGAUCUAGAGGUAGCUAUUUGAAGGGAGUGUGGACGUGCAGUUUGGGUGUGGGAGAGAUGGUCACAGAGUUGGAUGGUAUCAGACGAAGAAAGGGGUGGGUGCUGGAGCAGGGGCAGGAGACAUGGUCAGCUCGUUCUGUGAUGCCACAUUUUGAUAUGAGUUUCUGAGAAUUUAAAAUUCAACCUGGCUCUUCAGGUUGUUGUGAAUGUGUAUUUGUCAAGAUUGGAAGAUAAAACAUAAUUUAUUUAACAAUCGAUCAGUUUUAUCUGCAACUCUUAAAUAUUUUCACACAUGGUGUUUGGGCCUUUGUACUCUUGCCCCAGCUCUACCAGCGUUAGCAAUAGGUCUGCCUAGUUGGUCUCCCUAUACCCAGAAUUUUUCUUUCUCGUUUGUUUUUGUUUGGGUUUUUUUUUUUUUAGAAUUUUUAAUUUUUAUUUUAUAUUGGAGUAGUUGAUUAACAAUGUUAUGUUAGUUUCAGGUGUACAGCAAAGAGAUUUAAUUAU
rnacentral:lncRNA from 1 species